ensembl:lncRNA
CCAGGUGUGGCUUAGCCAGGUGCCCCCAGGCUGAAGGCCUUUUAUGGGGAGGUGGGGCACUACUGCCAUUGGCCAAGGCCAUCCUCUCAGCUGAAGGCUCAACUGGUGGAGAAUCCAGUUCUGAGCUCACUCUUGCAGUUACUGACAGGAGUCAGUUCCAGUCCAGUUGGCUGGAGCCCUCCCCUGCGUCACAGGGCAUUUCAACAGGGCAACUAGCUUCCUACAGAGCAGAACCAUCCGUAGAUGAGGAAGUCUCAGCCCUUGGCUAAAAGGAGGGGGAGGCAGGGAACCCCUCGAAGAUCUGCGCACUUCUGUCUAGGGAGUUCCAGAACACCGACGAGGGGGAGUAUUUAUAGCUCUCCUUGGAUUCUCAGAGGGGCUUACAGCUGCCCAAAGGUUAAGAACUCCAAGUGACAUGUGGGUGCUGCUAAAGGGGAACAGUGAUGCAAAUCCUGCAGGAGUGGACAGAGAGAAAGGAGCAUGGAGGAGAGGGGUAUUCAGGUAAGACUUCCCAGAGGCAGGAUUCUGGUAUUGGGGAUGGGGGAGCUGACAUUUCUUGCACUCUUACUGUGUGCCAGGCAUUGUUCUAGACCAAAAUUUACAAGGAUUAGUUCAUUCAUAUAACAACCUUAUGAGGUAAAUAAGAUUAUUGUUCUGGCUUUGUAGAUUAAUUCAUUUAAUAAAUAUUUAUUGAGCGCUGUGUGUCAGGCACUGUUCCCAGAGCUACGGCAAUUAACAAAACAGUCAAAAAUGCUUCCUUUGUGGAGCUUGCAUUCCUGUGGGGAGACAGAUGAGGAAACCAGUUUCCCAGAGAGUUAAGUGAUAAACAAGGGUCUUCAGCUAGUAAGCAGCAGAGAUUUGAACUGAGGCAGUAUGGCACCAGAAGCUGUACCACUUUAUUUAUUUUAAAGGAAUGGUUAAUAAUUUCAAACAAUUGAAAGCUUAAAAUUUCUGUGCAACAGAAAAUCCCCAAACCUAAAAGGAAAGUGAGAAAAUUCUGACAUCAUAUAGAGCAAAGAAUAGCUCCAAAAUGUUUUUAAACUAUAAGUCAAAGCCGCACAUUAAAAAUGAACGGGAAAAGGUUACUAAAAUAACUCAGAAGAGGAAAUACACAAUCAAUAAUGUUGAACACUGGCUUCCUGAAUUAUCAUCAAAACUUUCUGUUUAUUGCUUGCACAGUAAGGAAGAGCUUUACCUUGGCAGAGUCUUAGUAACCUGUCAGAGGGCAAAGGGUUGAGACUGGAUAUUUACUGAAGUUUUGGAGAUUGGUCUAAGGCAGAACUUUCCAUGGGGAAAGGGGCUUGGUUAAGUUUGGGUAGGAUCAUGAUACAGUAAUUUGGGAUUAAUGGACAGUCCUGCAAGGGUUUUAAGGAAAGAAGAUUAAAGAGUCACUACAGCAUGCAAAGAGUCGGACACGACUGAGCGACUGAACUGACUGACACAUGCCAGAGACAUUGCUUUGUCAACAAAGAUCUCUCUAGUCAAGGCUAUGGUUUUCCAGUAGUCAUGUAUGGAUGUGAGAGUUGGACUACAAAGAAAGCUGAGCGCCGAAGAAUUGAUGCUUUUGAACUGUGGUGUUGGAGAAGACUCUUGAGAGUCCCUUGGAUUGCAAGGAGAUCCAACCAGUCCAUCCUAAAGGAGAUCAGUCCUGGAUGUUGAUUGGAAGAACUAAUGUUGAAGCUGAAACUCCAAAAGUUUGGGCACAUGAUGCGAAGAGCUGACUCAUUUGAAAAGACCCUGAUGCUGGGAAAGAUUGAGGGCACGAGGAGAAGCAGACGACAGAGGAUGAGAUGAUUGGAUGGCAUCACUGACUCAAUGGACAUGGGUUUGGGUGGACUCCGGGAGCUGGUGACGGACAGGGAGGCCUGGCGUGCUGUGGUUCAUGGGUUUGCAAAGAGUCAGACACGACUGAGCAACUGAACUGAAAUGACAACAUGCCAAGUAGAAACUUAGAAGCAAAAAUGCAGGUUGUCUUUUUUGAAAGAAUGUAUAACUGUGACUGCAAUUGUAUGCCUGCAAUUCUUUAUGCUAGUGCUUGUUGGGUUUGUCUAGAUUUACCUGACCUCUUCUAGCCUUUGGCAUCAAUGCCUUCAGUGCUUGUGGAUAAACAAGUGAUGAAACUAAGAAGCUUAUAGAAUGAGGUAGAAGGGAAUGAUUGAUAAAUCAAGUUAUUGGGUUUUUCCUUUGCUUAAAAUCACAUUUUAAUUAUAUGUGUAUUCUCAACUUUUCAGUUAUAUAUUUUUAAGAAAACCUUGAGGUGUCAUUGACAUUCAACAAGUUUCAUAUACUUGAAGUAUGCAAUUUUGACAUGAGUAUGUAUUCAUGAAACUUAUCACUGCAAUUAAGAUUAUGAAUAUAUCUGUUACCUCCAAAGUCUCCUUGGGCUUCUGUCAACCCCUCCCUCCAGGCCCCUCUCCAAGCAGCAACUGAUUGUCUUUUGUCCUACAGGUUAUUUGCAUGGCUCUUUUUUUUAAAAUUGUUUGCAUCUGUGUUGUUGCAUGUAUUAAUAGUUUACUGCUUUUUAUUUCUGAGUAGUAUUUCAUUGUAUGGAUAUACCACAAAUUAUUUAUCCACUCAUUUGUUGAUUAUAUGGUUGAUUCCAGUUUAGGGCUAUUACAAAUGAAACUGUGAUUAACAUUCAUGUGCAAGUGUUUUUGUAGACAUAUGAUUUUAUUUCUUCAGUAAUUAAUUACUUCUUAAUAGAAUGGCUGGAUCAUACUAUUGGUAUAUGUCAAAGUUUUUAAGAAACUGUCAAACUGUUUUCCAAUGUAGUUGCACUAUUUUACAUUGCUGUCAGCAGUCUAUGAAAAUUCCAGUUAUUUUACUUCCUUUUCCAUUAUUUGGUCUGGCCAGUCCUUUUGAUUUUAGCCAUCCUCAGAGGCGUGCAAUGGUAUCUUAUUUUAAUUUGCAUUUCUGAGAUAAUUAAUGAUGCUGAGCAUCUUUUUGUGUGCUUUUUGCCAUCAAUAUGUCAGGAGGGCUUCCUGGUGGGUCAGAUGGUAAAGAAUCUGUCUGCAAUUCUGGAGACUGGGGUUCAAUCCCUGGGUUGGGAAGAUCCCCUGGAGAAGGGAGUGGCAACCCACUCCAGUAUUCUUGCCUGGAGAAUUCUAUGGACAGAGGAGCCUGGUGGGCUGUAGUCCAUGGGGUUGCAAAGAGUUGGACACGACUGAACAAUUAACACAAACAAAAAAUAUCUUCUUUGGUGAAGUAUUCUUUCAAAUCAGUUGUCACUUUUUGUUGUUGUUGGACUCUAUUGCAUUUUGGGAGUUCUUAUGUAUGUUGGAUACAAGUCCUUUAUCAUAUAUGUGAUUUGCUAAUGUUCUCCUAACCUGUGGGUUAUUUUUGCAUUCUUCUAAAAGUAUCUUCCAAAAAGUGUACAUUUGGGCAGAGACUACUUAGUCUGGGGCCUGUCAGAUUUGUUCUCUUCUCCUUUCAGAUCAAAGGCCUUUGCCACAAAUAUGCUCCUUGGUUAGCCCAAGAAACAUACAGGGUUUCUUUCCUUGUAUUUAUUGGAGCUGGAGGUACUGUAGCAGCACUGUAUGCCUUGUAUCUGGCAUUGUUCAAUCAGUUGGAACAGAAAGAAUAAGCCAGAAGAAACUGAAUCCUAGUGAUCAAUGUAAGUUCUAUUCGGUGAAUGUGGAUUACAGUAAGCUGAAGAAAGAAGGUCCAGACUUCUAAAUGAAAUGUUUGACUAUAAAGCUGCUUAGAAUGAAGGUCUCCCAGAAGCCAUUUGUAAAAUUUUCUAUUUAACCAGGAAAUAUUUCCCCUUUAAAUGUAUGAAAUCAUGAUUGUGUAUUGUGUUGAGGGUUUACCUUGAUUAAUACAUGUCUGAAACUUGAACAAAAAGCAUACAGACAUUCUUAAUUUUUGUUUAGUCAAAUUUAUCAGUUUUAAGGACUGUAUUUAUUUGUCAUAUCAGAAAUCUUUGCCUAACCCAAGGUCAUUUACUCUAUAUUCUAUCAAUUUUUUAAUUUUAAAAUUUACAUUUAUAUCUGUGAUCCAUUUUGAGUUGAUUUAAAAUAUAUGCUAUGAGGUGUGGAUCAAACUUCCAUUUCUUUUGCAUGUAGUUAUUCAAUUGUUCCAGGACCAUUCACUGAAAAGACUACCCUUUCGACAUUUAACAACCCUUAUAACUUUGUUGAGCAAUUGAGCAUGUAUGUGUGACUGUGUUACCAGACUUUUUGUACAGUUGACCUGAAUUUGUCUAGCUUUACCUUAAUUUCCCCCACACUGUAUUAAUCACUGUAGCUUUAAGUAUAAGCACUAAAGGGGUUCCCAGGUGGUGCUAGUGGUAAAGAAUCCACCCACCAAUGCAGGAGAUGAAUCCCUGGGUCUGGAAGAUCCCCCAGAGUAGGAAAUGGCACCCCACUCCAGUAUUCUUGCCUGGAAAAUUCCGUGGGCAGAGGAGCCUGGCAGCUUACAGUCCACUGGGCCGCAAAGAGUUGGACAUGACUGAGUGACAGGGCACACACACAAGCCCCUACAUAUGAACCUUCAAGUUACAGACUUUCAAAGAAAGAGCGUUCUGUCAGCAUUAGGCAUGAGUGAAAUUGCCCUUUCUCUCCUAUUGCUGAUGAUCCUUCAGCUUUACCAUCUCCCACCUUCUCUCCCUCCUAUAAUCACUAACUCUUCUUGCUUAUUCACUUAAAGCCAGCCUCUGUAUGCCAGCUAUUGUACUAUACUACUGUACUUUUCAAAGUACUGUACUGUAAGAUUGUUUUAUUUUUGUUUUUAUGUAUUAUUUAUGUUAAAAGUAUUAUAAACCUAUUACAGUAUAAUACUAUAUAGCCAAUUGUGUUAGCUGGGCACCUAGGCUAACUUUGUUGAACUUACAAACAAAUUGGACUUACGAAUGUGCUUUUAAUAUGGAACUCGUUCAUAUGUAGGGGAUUCACUGUAUUGAAAUCAGGUAGUGUAAGUCUUCCAAGUUUUUUUUUUUUAAUCAAUUUCCAUAUUAUUUAGGCUCUUCUAGGGCUUUCAAAUUCCAUACAUUUUAGGAUCAGUUUAAGUUCUGUGAAAACGAUUGCUGGGAGUUUGAAUAGGUUGUGUUGACUCUAUAGAUCAAUUUAGGGAGAAUUGACAUCUUAAUGUAUAUUGAAUCUUCUGAUCUAGGACCACACUAUAGUUUUACAUGUAUUUAGGACUUAAGCUUUCCUCAGUAGUUUUCAGUAAGUGAGUCUUGCCCAUUUUUUGUAAAAUUUACCCCCAAGUAUCUCAGAUUUGUAAUGCUGUUGCAUAUAGAAAUGCAAUUGAUUUUUGUACCUUGACUAUAUAUCUUCUGACCUUGCUAAUCUCACUCACUAGCAUCAGUAAGUUUUUAGUAAAUCCCAUAGGAUUGUCUGUUGAUAAAUGGACAGUCAUUAAUCAUCUGUGAAUAAAGACAGUUUUACUUCUUUCUUUCCAAUCUUUAUGCCUUUUCUUUUUAUUUUAUUGCACUGAUUAGAAACUACAGUACAAUGUUGAAUAGAAGUGUUAAGAGUGGAUGUCUUUGCCUGUUCUUGAUCUUACGGGGGAAGCACUCAGUAUUUACAUAAAGGAUGAUGUUAGCUGUAGAUUUUUGCAGAUGACUUUCAGCAUUUUCUAACCUAUGAACCCAGUAUGUCUGAUGUGAGGAAGUCUGCUGAGUUUUUUUCCCUAAACCUUGAAUUAACAGUAGAAUUUGUCGAUUUUUUUGCCUCUAUUGGGAUGAGCCUAUAACUUGCUUUUAUUUUUUUAGUCUGUAAGUAUGGUGAAUUAUAUUGUUGAUUGAAUGUUAACCCAACCUUGCUUUCCCUAAUAGACCCCAAUUAGUCAUGACAUAUUAUUUGUAUCAUAGAAUUUGAAUUAAUAUUUUGUUAAGAAUUUAAACAUCUACCUUCAUAAGAGUUCUUGGUCUGUAUUUUUCUUUUCUUGUAAUUUGUUUGGUAUUGGUAUCAGGGCAGUGCUGACUCAUGGGAUGUGUUGGGAAGUAUUACCUUGUCGUGGGCUGAAUUGUAUCCUCUCAGAAUUCAUGUGUUGAAAUCCUAACCCCCAGUACCUCAGAUUCUGACAGUAUUUGGAGAUAAGGUCUUUAAAGAGGUAGGUUGAAAUGAAGUCAUUAGGGUUGGCCCUAAUCCAAUAUGACUGGUGACCUUAGAGGAAGAGGAAAUUAGGACCCAGACAUCUACUGAGAGAAGACCAUAUGAGGAGAGAGAGGACAGCCAUCUGUAAAUCAAAGAGAAAGGCCGUGGAAGAAACCAGUCCUGUUGACACCAUGCUCUCAG